rnacentral:rRNA from 1 species
GACGAACGCUGGCGGCGUGCCUAACACAUGCAAGUCGAGCGGGGGGAGUUCUUCGGAACGAACCUCGCGGCGGACGGGUGAGUAACACGUGGGCAACCUACCUGGAGUAGGGGGAUAACAGGAUUAAAGUCCUGCUAAUACCGCAUGACCCGGUGCUGUCGCAUCAUGGCAGCGGCAGAGGAGCCAUCCGCCUAAAGAUGGGCCGGCCGUGCAUUAGCUAGUUGGGGGGGGAACGGCCUACCAAGGCGACGAUGCGGAGCCGAACCGGGAGGGGGAACGGACAGAUUGGAACAGAGACACGGUCCAGACACCUACGGGAGGAGGGAGUGAGGAAGAUUGAACGAUGGAAGAAUGACGGAUGCAGCCAGGGCGCGUGAGGGAUGACGGCGUUCGGGAUGUAAAGCUCUGUCUUCGCUGACGAAAUCUGACGGUAAGGGAGGAGAAAGCAACGGCUAACUACGUG